GGUGAACGCUGGCGGCAUGCCUAACACAUGCAAGUCGAACGAAAAGACAGUAAGAUUUUGCCUCUAAGGGUGGCGGCGGGCGGGCGGGUAACACAUGGAUCACAUACCUCUAAGACGGGGAUAAUAACGGGAAACAAGAGAUACUAAUAGAGAAUAUGUUGAACCGCAGGAAUCAGUAGUGCAUGGGGGUUUUGGUGUCAGAUAGAGAUGAAGCCGCGCCGGAUUAGCUAGUUGGUAAGGUAACGGCUUACCAAGGCGACGAUGCGUAGCCGAGCUGAGAGGGUGAUCGGCCACACUGGAACUGAGACACGGUCCAGACUCCUACGGGAGGCAGCAGUAGGGAAUCUUCCGCAAUGGGCGAAAGCCUGACCGAGCAACGCCGCGUGAGUGAUGAAGGUCUUCGGAUCGUAAAACUCUGUUAUUAGGGAAGAACAAAUGUGUAAUUAACUAUGCACGUCUUGACGGUACCUAAUCAGAAAGCCCCGGCUAACUUCGUG
rnacentral:rRNA from 1 species